rnacentral:rRNA from 1 species
AACGAACGCUGGCGGCAGGCCUAAUACAUGCAAGACGAACGGUAAGUUGAGUAGCAAUACUUAGCCAAGAGUGUCGUACGGGUGCGUAACACGUAUGCAACCUACCCUAUACAGGAGGAUAGCCUAGGGAAACCUGGAUUAACCCUUCAUAGUAUUAUUGGAUGGCAUCAUUUGAUAAUUAAAACUGAGGUGGUAUAGGAUGGGCAUGCGUCUGAUUAGUUAGUUGGCGGGGUAAUGGCCCACCAAGACGAUGAUCAGGUAGGGGUUCUGAGAGGAAGACUCCCCCACACUGGCACUGAGAUACGGGCCAGACUCCUACGGGAGCAGCAGUAGGAAUAUUGGUCAAUGGAUGCAAGUCUGAACCAGCCAUGCCGCGUGCAGGAAGAAGGCCUUC